ACCGAAAAAAGAACAACUCUUUACAAAAGUAAAACCAAUUGUGGAAAGUUUACUAUAGUAGCUAUCAUUAUUAUUAUUAUUUUGUUUCUUUUCUUUCUUCUGAUC
rnacentral:ribozyme from 13 species